rnacentral:rRNA from 1 species
UACGUAGGGUGCAAGCGUUAUCCGGAAUUAUUGGGCGUAAAGAGCUCGUAGGCGGUGUGUCGCGUCGGCCGUGAAAACUUGCAGCUUAACUGUGGGCGUGCGGUCGAUACGGGCAUCACUGGAGUUCGGCAGGGGAGACUGGAAUUCCCGGUGUAGCGGUGAAAUGCGUAGAUAUCGGGAGGAACAUCAGUGGCGAAGGCGGCUGCCUGGCCCAAUACUGACACUCAGGUGCGACAGCGUGGGGAGCAAACAGG